AACGAACGCUGGCGGCAUGCCUAACACAUGCAAGUCGAACGAAGGCUUCGGCCUUAGUGGCGCACGGGUGCGUAACGCGUGGGAAUCUGCCCUUGGGUUCGGAAUAACAGCGGGAAACUGCUGCUAAUACCGGAUGAUGACGUAAGUCCAAAGAUUUAUCGCCCAAGGAUGAGCCCGCGUAGGAUUAGCUAGUUGGUGGGGUAAAGGCCCACCAAGGCGACGAUCCUUAGCUGGUCUGAGAGGAUGAUCAGCCACACUGGGACUGAGACACGGCCCAGACUCCUACGGGAGGCAGCAGUGGGGAAUAUUGGACAAUGGGCGAAAGCCUGAUCCAGCAAUGCCGCAUGAGUGAUGAAGGCCUUAGGGUUGUAAAGCUCUUUUACCCGGGAUGAUAAUGACAGUACCGGGAGAAUAAGCUCCGGCUAACUCCGUG
rnacentral:rRNA from 1 species